rnacentral:lncRNA from 1 species
UAAAAAAGGACAUGUUAUUUAGACUACCUGUAUAGCAAUUUGGCUGGAUUUUGGAAUUGGAAUGUCAUAGAGGGAGUGUUGAACGAAGGGGAUGAGCAGGAAAUUCACAAAACUUAGGGCAAUUGAUGUAGAGGCGAUAGGCUCGUAUGGAAAUUCAACAACAAAUGCAUCUACACCGUGAAAUCGGCGUAUUGGUGUGCAGUGGAGUCUGGACAAUGAAAAAAAUAGAGUUCCGAGUGAUUGGAUGCACAUGUGAAAAUUGAAAAUACCACAAAGAGUACAUUUUUAUUUGGAGAAGUUUGAGGGGAUGCUUACCUAUGCGAGUUUGACUAUGAGGUAAGGAGUAGGUUGUUCGGAUAGUUGUCUUCACUAUCAAGAAAAAACCUUGAAAAUGAAUGACAUUUAUAUUUUUAUGGCUUAAAUAUACGAUUCAUUCCUGUAAAUUCGCAUGUUUUUGGUUUCCGUCCCUGUAUCUUCUGGUUAAUAGUCC